GGUCGAAAUUCUGUAUGUGCCAAAUUCGGAUUCAGAAAUUCUGUAUUCCAAAAAUCGGUGUUUUAAAAUUCUGUCUUUCAAAAUGCUAAUUUUGGAGUACAAAUUAUUGGUAUUUUCUUUGUAGAAAAUCCUUUGAAGUAAAAUAUCUCUCCAAUUAAUUUGCAUAUGGCUUGCUAUUCGAUUGAAUUGGAGUAACAAAAUACGAGGGUUUUAGAGCCAUUUGCUGAAACGAAUAAUAGAAAAGCAGAAUAAUGGAAUACAGAAUUAGGUUCAUACUGAAUUUUUUAUUCAGAUAGGUACAGAAUUUUGGCCAUACAGAAUUUUGGAAUACAGAAAACGACCCGUUCCAGAAAAAAAAAAAUCGGUUAAUUCUGUUUAUUUUUGAAGUUAUACUUCUUUUGCGGCGAUGAGCCAUGAAAAUUUACUUUUUGACAAGAAUGUCAAAAAGAUUAUGACACGAUCACCACCUCCGAUACUGACAAUUGGGCAGCAGGGCUGUCGUUUCACCUUAAGAGUUGGCAGUACUUUAGUAUUAAAAUAGGGAAGUCAAAUUGUCUUGGGUUAAGUAGAUCUAGCAUCAAAAAAUUUUGUUUGAU